UACAUGGGGUGCAAACGUUGCUCGGAAUUAUUGGGCGUAAAGCGCACGUAGGCGGUUCGUUAAGUCGGAUGUGAAAGCCCUCGGCUCAACUGAGGAAGUGCACCCGAAACUGGCGAGCUUGAGUACGAAAGAGGAUCGCGGAAUUCCCGGUGUAGAGGUGAAAUUCGUAGAUAUCGGGAGGAACACCGGUGGCGAAGGCGGCGAUCUGGGUCGAUACUGACGCUGAGGCGCGAAAGCGUGGGGAGCGAACAGG
rnacentral:rRNA from 1 species